rnacentral:rRNA from 1 species
CAUGCAGGCGGAUCGUUAAGUCGGGGGUGAAAGCCCGAGGCUCAACCUCGGAACUGCCUUCGAUACUGGCGAUCUUGAGUCCGGGAGAGGUGAGUGGAACUCCGAGUGUAGAGGUGAAAUUCGUAGAUAUUCGGAAGAACACCAGUGGCGAAGGCGGCUCACUGGCCCGGUACUGACGCUGAGAUGCGAAAGCGUGGGAGCAAACA